ACUCCUACGGGAGGCAGCAGUGGGGAAUAUUGGACAAUGGGCGCAAGCCUGAUCCAGCCAUGCCGCGUGAGUGAUGAAGGCCCUAGGGUUGUAAAGCUCUUUCACCGGUGAAGAUAAUGACGGUAACCGGAGAAGAAGCCCCGGCUAACUUCGUGCCAGCAGCCGCGGUAAUACGAAGGGGGCUAGCGUUGUUCGGAUUUACUGGGCGUAAAGCGCACGUAGGCGGACUAUUAAGUCAGGGGUGAAAUCCCGGGGCUCAACCCCGGAACUGCCUUUGAUACUGGUAGUCUUGAGUUCGAGAGAGGUGAGUGGAAUUCCGAGUGUAGAGGUGAAAUUCGUAGAUAUUCGGAGGAACACCAGUGGCGAAGGCGGCUCACUGGCUCGAUACUGACGCUGAGGUGCGAAAGCGUGGGGAGCAAACAGGAUUAGAAACCCCUGUAGUCCCAUGA
rnacentral:rRNA from 1 species